rnacentral:rRNA from 1 species
AUACGGAGGAUCCGAGCGUUAUCCGGAUUUAUUGGGUUUAAAGGGUGCGUAGGUGGUUUGAUAAGUCAGCGGUGAAAGUUUGCAGCUUAACUGUAAAAAUGCCGUUGAAACUGUCGGACUUGAGUGUAAAUGAGGUAGGCGGAAUGCGUGGUGUAGCGGUCAAAUGCAUAGAUAUCACGCAGAACUCCGAUUGCGAAGGCAGCUUACUAAGCUACAACUGACACUGAAGCACGAAAGCGUGGGGAUCAAACAGGAUUAAAUACCCUGGUAGUCCACGCAGUAAACGAUGAUUACUAGCUGUUUGCGAUACACAGUAAGCGGCACAGCGAAAGCGUUAAGUAAUCCACCUGGGGAGUACGCCGGCAACGGUGAAACUCAAAUGAAUUGACGGG